GGAAGACGCAGAGGACAGGAAGAGAUGGAAACGGAAGAUCUGCUGUGGCGACCCCUAACGGCAGCAGCCGAAAGUAGUAGAAGUUGGCAGCCGCGAUUUCACUGAGUCAUCAUCACCAUCUUCGAGCUAAAGAUCAGAGGUUUGGACCAAGUCAUUGCUUUCCAAGUCCCAAGUCCCAAGUCAAGAUUUACAAGUCUCAAGUCAAGCCCAAAGUCAAGAUUUACAAGUCCCAAGUCAAGAUGUACAAGUCCCAAGUCAAGUCCCAAGUCAAGAUUUACAAGCCUCAAGUCAAGCCCCAAGUCAAGAUGUACAAGACCCAAGUAAAGAUGUACAAGCCCUAAGUCAAGUCCCAAGUCCUAAACUUUGAGUUUGAAGUCUAAAACAAGUC